AGUCCCAUAAAUAGGCUGCUGCUGAACACGACCCCCUCUGGAGUUUGUGUCAGGCGCUGGUGGAGAUGAAAGUCAGCCACGAAGGAGCUCUCUAAUGACUGAAACAUGUGACACGAGGACAGGAAGGGAGAGUUUAGUCGUCUUCGCUGUUAUCCCUGAUGUUGCUUCCUGUUGUUCACUUCCUGUCAGCCAGCUCAGUCCGAACGAAGCACUUCUGCUUCCCACUAAAGAACGAGGGUAAAAAUAGACCGCCGCUUCAUUCUAGUUACUUCCAUCUAACGUUUUUUGUGACUGUUUUGCCAUCUCUACCGUGGUUAAAUCUUUGCAGCUUUCUGUUUCCUCGAACGCAUCACCCUGCAGAACCACGUCUGUCUGUGGGUGAUGGUUUUGGUUUAGUGUCUGAGGCCGUGAUGCAGACGCUGAGCCGAUCUGUCGAGAUGAAGAGGGAGCUGAGCCAGAAAGCCAGGCUCUCGAUUUACCGGUCGAUCUACGUCCCAAUCCUCACCUAUGGUCAUGAGCUUUGGGUAAUGGCCGAAAGAACGAGAUCGCGGAUACAAGCGGCCGAAAUGAGUUUCCUCCGUAGGGUGGCCGGGCUCAGCCUUAGAGAUAGGGUGAGGAGCUCGGACAUUCGGGAGGGACUUGGAGUAGACCCGCUGCUCCUCCACAUCGAGAGGAGCCAGUUGAGGUGGUUUGGGCAUCUGGUCAGGAUGCCUCCUGGACGCCUCCCUGGGGAGGUGUUUCGGGCAUGUCCUGCCGGCAGGAGGCCCCCGGGUCGACCCAGGACACGUUGGAGAGGUUACAUCUCCAAUCUGGUCUGGGAACGCCUUGGUGUCCUGCCGGAGGAGCUGGUGGAGGUGGCCGGGGAGAGGACGGUCUGGAGCUCCCUAGUUGGGAUGCUGCCCCCGCGACCCGGACCCGGAUAAGCGGAGGAAGACGACGACGACGUCUGAGGCCGACUGAGGAAAGAAACUUCAGGGACGAUGGCUCAGAGAACUUUAACAUUAUUAAGCAUCAAUAAACAGGUUCUCUGACACCUAUCGUUAUCAACUUCAGGGUCCUUGGGGGGGGCACCAUUGGGUCCUUGGGGGGGGGGGGCACCAUUCCAGUAAUUAGCAGUUGCCAACAUCACAGCUGAGCUUCAGACGGCAUGUUGUGGAGUCUUAUUUCCUGAUAUUUGGACAUCUCGCCUCUGAUUGGAUAACAGCAACGCAACUCUACCGCUGACUCUGUAACAUUGAAGUUUUAUCUCAACAAAUGUUUAUGUUUAUAUAUUUAGCAGAUACUUUUGUCCAAAGCAACUUACAGGUGAUAAUGACACAAGCCUGGAGGAGCUUCUGCUGUGUGGAGAAGUUGCUAAUGCUAACAGUUAGCUUACACUAGUUGGGACGUUCUCUGAAGAUUCCUGGACACUAAAACAACAAAAGAUUGGUGAGUCCACUGUGUGACGUAUGGAUGUAGUUUCUACAGCUGAAUGAAGAUAAGACUGAGAUCCUCAUCUGUGUCCCAGACAAGCUGGUUCCCAAAGUCAGAGACUCUCUUGGUCAGCUUGCUUCUCACACCAAACCCUCUGUCAGGAAUCUUGGCGUGACCUUUGACCCAGCUCUCACCCUGGAUUCUCAUGUCAGUUCUCUUGUUCGCUCUUCCUUCUUCCAUCUCAGGAACAUUGCUAAGCUGAGUCCCAUUCUGCCCCGCUCUGAACUUGAGACAGUUCUCCACACCUUCAUCUCCUCACGCUUAGACUACUGUAACUCUCUUUUCACGUGUCUGAGCAGAACCUCCCUGAACCGUCUACAGGUGGUUCAGAAUGCCUGUGCUCGGCUUCUGACCAAGUCCUCCAAACACACCCACAUCACCCCGCUUCUCCUCCAGCUUCACUGGCUGCCAGUCAACUUCAGGGUUCAUUUCAAGAUCCUGGUUCUGGUCUAUAGGGCCUUACAUGGACAAGCACCAUCUUACAUUGGUGAUCUUCUCAGUCCCUACACCCCCAGCAGGUCCCUGAGGUCCAGUGAUCAAAGUCUACUGGUUGUGCAGCACCAGGCUAAAGGUCAAAGGUGACAGAUCAUCUGCUGCUGUGGCCCCCAGACUCUGGACCUCCCUCCCCCUGAGUCUGAGACCAGUGGACUCAGUGGUCUCCUUUAAACUCACCUGUUCAGGCUUUGGUGGGACCUUCAUCACCACCCUCUCCUUGUUCUACUAGGACCAGGCGGAAAACAACCACUUGUGUUUAAGCCUGUUUCCCAUUAGAACCGUCCAGAAGCUCAUCCUUUGGCUCUGCUGCUGCUUGCUAACGUGUGAUUGGCCGUUCCUGCCACUUGUGUACUUGACAGUUCUGCAUUCCUGACGUUGCAUAAAAGAGCCUCUAGGUUGUAGUUUUAUACAUACUUUUUGUACACUUACUGUAAUGGCUUGUGUAAAAAUUAAAACGAUGAUUGUUGCUAUAGUGAUAGUUGGUAAUGUGUAACGUCAAAAAGGGUAAAUUUUCACCCAUAUAUUGACCAACAUAGUGACCUUUCAUCUACAGCUUGAAUCCACUUUCUGUGUGGCCUAACGGAACCAGAAGGUUCUGUUCAGCACAUGUUGACAUUCCAUGAAGACAACACGUUCAAACAAACAUCCUCUCCCAAGGUCCUACACUCUCUGCAUGAAAGCCAGACGUCAACAUUCUUCACUCUGAAUAAGGCCUAGUCCACACGUAGCCGGGGUUUUUUAAAAACAAAUAUCCGCCCCUCCAAAAACUUGCAUCCACACCACCUCGUUUAAAAGAAACUCUGUCCACACGUACCCGGAUAAAUACGUUGUUAAGGACAUGCCAGACCUGUAGGCGGCAGUACUUCCCCGUUCUUAACCUCGUCCUUCGUCUGUGGUCUUCAGCAAGGAGCAGUAAUUCCUCUUGCAAAAACAAACAAGCAGAAAGCGCUUGGACAAUUGAUAAAGCGAGCGCAGCUCUGAGGGCUUCCAUGCUGUCGGCUAGUGUAAACACAGGUCGCACACGUGAUGUCAGCAUUUUUUGUCGCGGAAAGUGACGCUGCGGACCUUAAAACUCCGGUUUUGUCUGUCCACACGCAGACACCCAAAACGGAGAAAACGCAGAUCUUCACUUUGGCCGGAGUUUUUAAAAAGAUCUGUUUUCGUGUGAAAAAACUCCGUUUUCAUGUGGAUGACAGGCCAAAACGUAGAAAAAUAUCUACGUUUUGGCAGAUCCCCGGCUACGUGUGGACAGGGCCUCAGUGAAGUUUCCAUGACUUUACAACUCAUAAGUUCAAUCAUCAUAUGUGAUGAAUGAACAAGAUGUUUAAAUCAAAUGUUUGAAUAUGAUCCACUUGUAUCACUGAUCACUAUGUGUUCGACGUGACAAGUUAAUCAUCAUCUGCACUCGUACACAUCUUCAUAAGAUACAAGUUAAGGUUAAGGUUCACCUCACAUAACGUUUAAGGAUUAUUUAUUCACAGUGCUCAGAAUCUUGCGUUUGAAGGAAGGCGUGGGAUUCUGAGGGAUGUUGAUAAAUAAUCAGAAACGUUUCAAGUUCUGAUUUGCCAGAAAUCAUAACACUGUGGUUUAUUAAAACAGGAUUUACUUCCCAAAUAAUUCAGUUUCCAGCUGAAACCCGAUUCGGCCAAAUCGGGAAAGAAGCCUCUUUUGAAACCAUCUUCUCUGACCUCCUGUCCAAGCCUCUUUGCAACGCUGCGGCUGAUACCAGACAACCAGCUUGUUACGGCCCAGGGCCAUUUGGGUUUUUUUCCCCUCUAUGUGUGUGUGAGAGGAGAUGCAGCACCUGUCUCCCAUCUCACUAAAUUGCCUCCCAAUUAGACUCUCCCAGCUGAUCCUGAUCCGCUCUGCCAGCAGCAUAAAAGUCAGCCAGCCCUCAGUUCAGGGAGCAGCAGGCCUGGGAGGUUCUCUCUGGUCUGCUGUCUCCUCAGCAGCGUUUGGUUUUGUUAUAGUAUUAUGUGACAACUUUGGUGGGUGCUUAGGAAACUCUCUCUGUUUAACCGUCAGCCUUUUUAGGUGUAAAGGAAACUUUCCCCUUGCUUUAAAUAAGACAUCACUCGGUAAAAAGGAAAGCCCCCUGGACAGCCUGGAUCGUGACAUCAAGCAAACAUCAACCAACGCAAAUAAGCAUUCCAGCUUCCAGCCUUCACCUGGAGGGAUCUCCGACUGGAAGGGUCCUAUCGGAACGAUCUACGGGUUCCUGAUAUCAGAGCUCACUCCACCGGCAGUGACCAACGACACCCCCCCCCCCCCCCCCUCCGGAUCGAACGAGAACCUCCACACCAAGGCAGCAUGCGUCUAUCAGCUGUGCAAACCACCGACCCCUCCCUGUGGCAAACUUCCAGCAUCUUAUCUGUGAACACUACCAGUAAGGAAAAGAUGCAUUUGUAACCAUUUCUAGAUCUUUAUAAAAUAAGUACAGCACGGUCAACACCUUGUUGUCAUAACUCUUUAUAUUAAAGUGAUCUGUCCCAAGUGA